AACGCACCUUGCGCCCUUUGGCUAUUCCGAAGGGCAUGCCUGUUUGAGUAUCAUGAACACCUCAACUCUCAUGGCUUGCCAUGAUGAGCUUGGACUUUGGGGGUUUUGUUGGCCUGUGAGCCAGCUCCUCUUAAAUGAAUUAGCUUGCCGGUGUUUGGUGGCGUCACGGGUGUGAUAACUAUCUACGCUUGUGGUUUCCCACCAGGUAACCUUCAGCAAUGGAGGUUCGCCGGAGCUUAUAAAUGUCUCUCCUCGGUGAGGACACGUUUUGACCAUUUGAUCUCAAAUCAGGUAGGACUACCCGCUGAACUUAA
rnacentral:misc_RNA from 1 species